rnacentral:rRNA from 1 species
GACGAACGCUGGCGGCGUGCUUAACACAUGCAAGUCGAACGGAAAGGCCCUGCUUUUGUGGGGUGCUCGAGUGGCGAACGGGUGAGUAACACGUGAGUAACCUGCCCUUGACUUUGGGAUAACUUCAGGAAACUGGGGCUAAUACCGGAUAGGAGCUCCUGCUGCAUGGUGGGGGUUGGAAAGUUUCGGCGGUUGGGGAUGGACUCGCGGCUUAUCAGCUUGUUGGUGGGGUAGUGGCUUACCAAGGCUUUGACGGGUAGCCGGCCUGAGAGGGUGACCGGCCACAUUGGGACUGAGAUACGGCCCAGACGCCUACGGUAGGCAGCAGUGGGGAAUAUUGCACAAUGGGCGGAAGCCUGAUGCAGCAGCGCCGCGUGCGGGAUGACGGCCUUCGGGUUGUAAACCGCUUUCGCCUGUGACGAAGCGUGAGUGACGGUAAUGGGUAAAGAAGCACCGGCUAACUACGUG